rnacentral:tRNA from 1 species
GACUCUGUGGGCGCAAUGGGUAGCGCGUUCUGACUUCAGAUCAGAAGGGCUGCCAUGGUUCAAAUCCACGUCAGGUUCA